UGGCGCCUGGCCCGUGGCGGCGAGCUGCGGGGAAGGGCUGCAGCGAGGGGUGGUCCGUCCCCCCGCGGGCUCUGGGCCAGCUCCCACGCCCGGUGGAGUCAAAGGGCGUUUUACCGGUGGGCUUCGGUGCUCUGCAGUUAACCCUCGCCGCGCUUGGAAAGGUGCCUCCCGGGACAGCCAGGUACCACCUAAGCCAGACUGUAUUGGGGAACCCGACUGUGACACCAGACACAGUUAAACACUUGGCCUUGAAGCAUAGACUGGUCCAGAUUGUGCAUUAACCGUCUUCACUGAAUUGUGCUGUGAAUUGACUGAAAUGUGAUCUUUAUGACCUAUGGGUAGUGUAAUACCAAACUGUUUUUGACUGUGUGGUAACUACUCACCACUUCCCUUCAAAAACAAUAGUAACAAGAGGAAAAUGGGAACUGCCAAAUGUCAUCAGACCAGUGGUCAGUCUAGUCCAGUAUCUUGUCUUUGAGAGUGGCCAGUAUCAAAUGCUUAAUUUAGGUAGUUAAGAGAUUACCUGCAGACUGGGCAAGUUUCUUCCUAAGCCCAUAUAGUUACAGGUUUUGCUUAUUCCCUGAAGCAUCAGGGAUUAAAACUCUUCCAAAACAUUUCAUUAAAAAAAAACCCUUACUAACAUAUUCAUGAUAUUUUUGGUAUCCAUUUAAAUAUCCAGUCUUUAUUUUAAUCCUGCUAAGCUUUAGGCAUCAAUGAUUUCUUGUGGCAGGGAGUUCCACAGAAUAAUUGUGUGUUGUGUGAAAAGAUAUUUCCUUUUAUUAGUUUUAAAUAUUCAGUCUCUGUUGAAUGGCAUCUAGUUCUUGCCUCAUGAUGCAGGAUGAAUAGGUGUGACCCAUCUGCUAUACAUAGAUUGUAAACUCUUUGGGGCAGGGACUUUCUUUGGGUUGUGUUUGUACAGUGCCUAGUGCAGUGGAGUUCUGGUCCAUGACUGGAGCUCCCAGGGCUACCCCAGUACAAAUUAAAAACAUUAUCUCCACACCACUCAUUAUUUCAAAUGCCUUUGUCCUGUGGUAGCUACUUUGCAGAAAGGGUUCUUGUGACCGGUUCCACCUGGCGUGUCACCUGGAACUGGGGUACCACUGAUCCCUCUGACCCACCAGCCUAGACUCCCUCUCACACUCUGCUGCUGUGACAAGCUGCAAAGCUCUCCAGCUUGCACUUUCACAUAGGUAGGGAUACAUCCAGUUGCAGUUACAUGCAGGCUCUCUA
rnacentral:lncRNA from 1 species